rnacentral:lncRNA from 1 species
AUAACCAUUAGGUAUGUUAUUUGAUUUUUUUGAAAGUUCAAGUAUGUUUUAGCACAACUAUAUAAGUCGGAUAUGAAUUGAACAUAUUGCAAUCUAUUGGGUACGAAGAAAUGGCCGUUUUCCCGUCAAUUUACCAACAUUAAAUCUUUGAACCGAACCUUAGCUGGCCUAAUCAAGAAAAUCUUUUAGGGUUGAAAAAAUAUCCACCAUAUCUUCUAUAGAACAUGUAUAGACAUACAAUAAUAAGCCCUCCGUUAUUAAAUUCGGUGAGAGGUAUUGAAAUCCCCGCAUAAAUUUACGUAUACUAUAAAAGCUAUAUCCAUCAUUC